rnacentral:lncRNA from 1 species
UCCAAAAAAGGCACUGAUCCUUGUGCAAAUUCAUUAUUUAACAUAAAUAUCAAAAUAAUCUGAAAUGAGAAGUUAUUAACUUUUUAUUUUAACAGUAUACUUCUUAGGCUCUCAUUACCAGCUCUAAAGAACUUUUGGGAAUUACUCCAUAUUCCAUAAUGUAUGGUUUAUAGACUAUGUGUAUCAUCACUAACCCAGUAGCCUUGAAAAAAGCGCCCCUCACCCCCAUCUCUGUCUAUCUCUCUGGUAGGCCAGUAGCAGUGUUGAGUGUAUAGUUAUCUUUGGAAAGACCAUCAAUAAAAAAAAAAAGCAUGUUUAAUAGACCAGAAAUUGAAAUGGGAGUUAGAGAACUUGGAUUUAUUAAUUCAAUGCCACCAUUAAUGUAGGUUUUACCACCAAGUAAUACUAUAAAUGAUUUUGAAAUUCUUGGAUGAAAGGUGCUAUGUAAAUGUAAAUACAAAGGAAUCUUACUGAAAUACAAAUAUUGCACAACAAAAUAUUAUAAAUCUAUUCUCUAGACUUUCUAAAAAUCUAUCAUGACUCCCUGGUUUCAAGCAUCAAAUUAGUAAAUGGGUAUCAUGGCAGGCUAGAGACACUUGAUGUAAAAGAUGUUUAUUUUUGGUUGGAUAAGUUGAAAGUAAAUGUAGAAAUUGUUUUAGCUAAAUACAGUAAGUGGGUAACUUAGAUUUAUAUUAACUAGCAUCUAAUUUGCACAACUAGGACAUAUCCCAGGACAAUUACUGAAAGCUGAAACCUGAUUAGUGCAAGGUGGCCCAAUCAGAGUGUCUAUCAGUUUGCCCUCUCCAAGAUACCAAAAUCCUAAAAUAAAGAACCCAUUGAGUUAACCAGCACAUUACUGCUUCAACAGAAAGUGGUGAAUGGCAGCCUAUAAAGUACUAAAUCUGAAUAGACUGAUCCUAAUAAUGGACAACUAAAGAAACAACCAAGGGUUGGGCCAGGGAUUUAGCUCAGUGGCACCAAGCCUGCCUUGCACAAGGUCCUGAGUUCAAUCCCCAAUACCAGAAAAAAAAAAAAAGAAAGAAAAAACCAAGGGAAUACAUUGAGACUGUAAAAAUUCAAAUAUUCUCAGUUAUAAUCAUCACAUUUUUCAUGCCAUUUCAAGGAGGACUAGAUAAUAACCACAUGAAUAUUUUACUUUCUCCAAAAGCAACUCUCAGAAGCAAACUUCAUAGGAAGCCUUUCUUACAUAAACUUCUGCCAAACAAAAUAGUAAGCCAGCUGGAACCAACCAGGACCAUUUUCCUAACGAGGGCCUAGACGGUUUUAAGUCUCUGCCUCUAUUAUAAAGUAACACCUAAAACCCCAAGGAAACUGAAAAAUUCAAUAUACAGGGUAAUAGCUUUGGCCCAAAGCUCUAAUAAUGUGCUUCAGAUCUGGCCGUGUGGAAAUGUUUUGGUCCAAGCUUUUGAAUUGGUGGUUACCAAAGAGUUCAUAAGACAGGUUCAUACAUCAUAGCACCUUUCAUGCAGGGCAUGGUAAAAGCCUAACUUAAAAUAAUCACUGUGCACAUUACAGAAUUGCAUCCACUUCAUAGAUGAAGUACUACAGCCUGUACUGUCUUAGCAGUUUAUGUCAGGAAGUGAGAAUGAUACUGUACCAAGUCUGGAAUUACAAUGGAGAAUAAUAAUGUAUGCUAAAUUGCUUUUGUGUUUAAAGUUACUUUUUAUGAGAAAAGUGGUGAAUUUGUUUUUCUUUCUUUUCAGCUACUCUUAGUUCUGAGACUUUUUUUAAGCCUUGAAUGAAGAAUACAAAAGGAGCCCAUUUUAUAAUUAAACCUUGAUGCACAUGUUGAGAUAUCUGGACAAUGAAAAUGCCUUAAAAAAGAAUGCUUAAUAAAUGAUGUUGCACUUACAACACCCUUUAACAAAACUUAAUUUUAAAUUGUCUUUUUCUUUUCUACUAAGGGUUCUGUGUUUCAGUGUCUGCCGUUGUACUUACAACUGUUAUUAAAUACCAAAUCAAAUAACAUAAAAGCUGUAACAUUUCCUUUAAAAUUAAAUGCUAUUGAGGGAUUUGCAGUUGGGUGGCAAAAUGUUUAUUACUUGACAAUAAACAUUAUCAGCCACAAGAAUCCAGCUCAUGAGACCCCACUGUUUGGUUGAUUUGUCUUUUUAAAACAAUUAUUCUCAUUUUAAACUGUUUAUCCUUAAAAAUUUAAGUUGGAUUAACAUUCAUUUUUCAAACUGAUACAAAAAUAAAACAGGUGAUUUUUUUAUAACAAGUGGUUAGUAAUCAUUUUAAAAUCAUAUAAUUUUAGCCAACUGUUACUGUUUGCUCUGGAGAAGUACUUUCAGACACAACCCAUAACUUGUUAGAUUAUUUUGUCCUAAUCAUUUGAGGAUGAGUAUUAGAGGUUUGGGGAAAAAAGAAGUCAGUUUGUUAAUUCUCAUUCCCAACAAAGGUUUAAAUACAAUCUAUAGUAGUCCCCUUUAUCAGAGGGGAAUAUGUUCCAAG